AGAGUGAACGCUGGCGGUAGGCCUAACACAUGCAAGUCGAACGGCAGCACGGUAAGAGCUUGCUCUUAUGGGUGGCGAGUGGCGGACGGGUGAGGAAUACAUCGGAAUCUACCUUUUGGUGGGGGAUAACGUAGGGGAACGUUACGCUAGUACCGCAUACGCCCUUCGGGGGAAGCCGGGGACCGAGCAAUGGCCUGGCGCUGAUAGAUGAGCCGAUGUCGGAUUAGCUAGUUGGUGAGGUAAUGGCUCACCAAGGCGACGAUCCGUAGCUGGUCUGAGAGGAUGAUCAGCCACACUGGAACUGAGACACGUCCAGACUCCGUACGGGAGGCAGCAGGUAGGGAAGUAUUAGGACAAGUGGGACGCGAACGCCUCGAUACCGAGACC
rnacentral:rRNA from 1 species